rnacentral:rRNA from 1 species
AGUGAACGCUGGCGGUAGGCCUAACACAUGCAAGUCGAACGGCAGCACAGAGGAGCUUGCUCCUUGGGUGGCGAGUGGCGGACGGGUGAGGAAUACAUCGGAAUCUACUCUGUCGUGGGGGAUAACGUAGGGAAACUUACGCUAAUACCGCAUACGACCUACGGGUGAAAGCAGGGGACCUUCGGGCCUUGCGCGAUUGAAUGAGCAGAUGUCGGAUUAGCUAGUUGGCGGGGUAAAGGCCCACCAAGGCGACGAUCCGUAGCUGGUCUGCGAGGAUGAUCAGACACCAUGGAGCUGUGACGAGGUCCAGACUCCUACGGGAGGCAGCAGUGGGGAAUAUUUGACAAUGGGCGCAAGCCUGUUCCAGCCAUACCGCGUGGGUGAAGAAGGCCUUCGGGUUGUAAAGCCCUUUUGUUGGGAAAGAAAUCCAGCUGGCUAAUACCCGGUUGGGAUGACGGUACCCAAAGAAUAAGCACCGGCUGACUUCGUGCCAGCCGCCGCGGUAA